rnacentral:lncRNA from 1 species
GAUCCCUGCCAGAGGCUACAUCGUCUCCUGCUCAAAGACUGACUUGCUAAUGAGUUUCAUAUGAAACAAAGAAAAGACGGGGGCAGAGCAAACGGGGAAGGGGAGCAGCACAGCUGUGGAGACUUAAAAGUGCAACCCAAGAACUAAGGAAGCGAACACUGUCUGCUCACAGGAAGCAGGCUCCAAAACACGUGCAAGAUGUGCUAGAAGGAAAUGCGUGAGGUUCAGAGAAAGAAGAAAAGUUUUUGGAGGAGAUAUCUAACUUCACGAAAAUAAAUCUUUUUUAUGGCACAGAGAAGAUUUUCUCUCUGAAGUUCCCAUAAGCAGUGUUAUUUAUCUGUGAAGAAGUCUCCUCCCACAAAGCAGCAGCAGUGAGCUCGUGGUACAGCCUGGCUUCCAGAGCACAGAGGCUGGAUUCUCAUCGACAUUCUUAGGCAGACUUCACAAGACUUUGAAGUGGCCGCUGUACGAAAUGGGAGCAAGAAUAUCCAGUUUCCCAACUCGAGGUGAUGCCUGGGAGUGAUGAUCACUCCUAACAUUCAUAUUUGUUCAGGAUAUUACAUCCCAAAAUGUUCUCCAAAAAAUUCUCUUGUUUAAUCCUCAGGACAGUUGUUAACAUGAAAAUUGUCACCCCCUUUUUGCAGGCAAGGAAACGAAGGAUCUGAAGGGUUAAAUGACUCACUUCAGAUCAAACAGCUGUUGGAGGAGAAAUUCAAACAAAAAAUUCAGGUCUUCAGAGUCCUCUCAGGGUAGAAGGUUUAUUCUCUGAGCUCAUGUUGGAGGGAACCUGGGGCAUCAUCAAAAGCAGCUACACCAGUGUAGUCAUUUAUGGAACUCUUAAAGGUCAAGGUUUCGUCGCUGUUCAGGUACAAGAGCGACGCCUGCAGGACAGUCCUUUGCAUGUGAACCCUGCCGGGUUCCAGGAAAUGCUCCUGGCUGUGCUCUGUGGCCGGGUGUCCCACACUGACAGAGGCCACUUUGGCUUGCUGCCACCUGCCCUUACUGGAUUAAGAAGCGUGGAUCCAUUGCUAUUAUGGAGCCUGAAGCAGAGCCAAGAAGAAGUCUCAAAGGGCCCUCUCCCCAGACAAGUGUGA